GUAGCGCGGAGCGUGAGCCUGCUGCGCUGACGGCUUCUGCGGUCUGGCGGGUGUUCUGCAAGCAAGGGGAAAAGUGUCCGUAACGGCUCCGUAUUUCCAUCCCUGUGCCCUGGUGUAGCGCCAGCACGAAUAAUCGUAAUGCAGUCCUGUAGGACAAAUAAGAAGUGACAUGGAAAAGACAGGGCUUGCACAGUUAUUUGUCUAUUUGUUUUGGAAGGACACCCUGCAUGAGGCUGUGUGAACUCGACGUGUUGCAGCCUGCUUGGGUACCGGCAGCAUAGAACCUGUUUUUGGUAGAAGAGAGAGGGGUUUUUGCAGAUCUAGAGAGAUCCUGAAGCAUUGGUUGGAAUAAGCUGCUCAACAGCAUGUGGACCUCGGUGCUCGGGCUCUAAUACAGAAACGAGAUUUUAACAGGGAAGCGUACCACCACGAAGGUGCUGAGCAUCAGUGCGAGGCCGAGCUGUGCCUGCCCAGCAUCACCCCUGCCCCUCCGGAGCAGUGUGCGGAGGGUCGGUCUGUCCAUCCGUAAAUCUUUGCCCCAUGCUACACGAUCCUUUCCUACACGAGAUGGCGCUCUUUGCCUUUCA